GUGAACGGGAAGAGCUCAAAUUUGAAAUCUUGGCAGUCUUGCGAUUGUCCUGAGUUGUAAUCUAUAGAAGCGUUUUCCGGUGCUGAACUGUGUAUAAGUCCCUUGGAACAGGGUUAUCAAAGAGGGUGACAAUCCCGUACUUUACACAAUCAUCAGUGCUCUGUGAUACGUUCUCUACGAGUCGAGUUGUUGGGGAAUGCAGCUCAAAAUGGGUGGUAAAUUCCAAUCUAAAGCUAAAUAUUGGCGAGAGACCGAUAGCGAACAAGUACCGUGAGGGAAAGAUGAAAAGCACUUUGGAAAGAGAGUUAAACAGUACGUGAAAUUGUUGAAAGGGAAACGAAAUUCAUGAAUCAUGUUUAUUGGACUCAGCCGUUCUUCGGUGUACUUCCUUUAAACGGGUCAACAUCAGUUUUGUCCGAUGGAUAAAGGUAGUAGGAAGGUGGCUCUCUCGGGAGUGUUAUAGCCUAUUGCUGCAUACAUUGGAUGAGACUGAGGACUGCAGCUUGCCUUUAUGGCCGGGGUUCGCCCACGUUCAAGCUUAGGAUGUUGACAUAUUCUCGAAUCACGACCCGUCUUGAACGG
rnacentral:rRNA from 1 species